rnacentral:rRNA from 2 species
UGAGGAAUAUUGGUCAAUGGGCGGAAGCCUGAACCAGCCAAGUAGCGUGCAGGAUGACGGCCCUAUGGGUUGUAAACUGCUUUUAUACAGGAAUAAAGUUAGCCACGUGUGGUUAUUUGUAGGUACUGUAUGAAUAAGGACCGGCUAAUUCCGUGCCAGCAGCCGCGGUAAUACGGAAGGUCCAGGCGUUAUCCGGAUUUAUUGGGUUUAAAGGGAGCGUAGGCCGUCUGUUAAGCGUGUUGUGAAAUGUAGAUGCUCAACAUCUGAAUUGCAGCGCGAACUGGCAGACUUGAGUGUGCGCAACGUAGGCGGAAUUCGUGGUGUAGCGGUGAAAUGCUUAGAUAUCACGAAGAACUCCGAUUGCGAAGGCAGCUUACGGGAGCACAACUGACGCUGAAGCUCGAAAGUGCGGGUAUCGAACA